CAGCCGCCGCGGUAAUACGUAGGGUGCAAGCGUUAAUCGGAAUUACUGGGCGUAAAGCGUGCGCAGGCGGUUAUAUAAGACAGAUGUGAAAUCCCCGGGCUCAACCUGGGAACUGCAUUUGUGACUGUAUAGCUAGAGUACGGCAGAGGGGGAUGGAAUUCCGCGUGUAGCAGUGAAAUGCGUAGAUAUGCGGAGGAACACCGAUGGCGAAGGCAAUCCCCUGGGCCUGUACUGACGCUCAUGCACGAAAGCGUGGGGAGCAAACAGGAUUAGAUACCCCCGUAGUCCCUGUCCUUAUACC
rnacentral:rRNA from 1 species